CUGGAGCGGACACACGCGCGUGCUUCCACGCACACGCUUACGUACUGGUAGAGGGCCCCAUCUAGAGGUAGAGGGCCCCAUCUAGAGGUAGAGGGCCCUAUCUAGAGCCAGAACGGAGCAGCUGAGUCCAGCUAGUGUUCAAUGAAGCGCCAGGCUCGACAUUAACAUCAGUGGUGGAACAAGUAUUCAGAUCCUUUGCUUCAGUAAGAGUAGGCCUACUAAUACCACACUGUAAAAAUACUCUGUGAAAGUAAAGGCCUGCAUAAAAAAUUUUACUUAAGUAAAAGUAUGUAAGUAUCAUAAGGAAAAUGUAGCCUACUUAAAGUAUUAAAAGUAAAAGUAGGCUACUGGAUGUAGAAAAACCCUCCCAUGUUAGAAAGUGUAAAGGAUCCAACCAGUUGUGUGUUUAAUUCUUACAAUUGACCUUUGUAGAAAAUCAUACAGGCUAAAUAUUUGACCCAAUGUCUGGACUUUACGUAUUAUAUUUAGGUUAGGAUUAUACUUACUCAUACCCACUACAAUAGACAUCCACUGAGAUGGGGUAAAGUGUCUGAAUAUUCCCACUAAUGGUGGUUUGAACCAGGCCUGAUGAUGUGGGGUGUUGCAAUUAAAUAGCACCUUAAACCACUAUAGGAUGAAGUAGCCUAUACACGGUUUAAAUCUCCUGUAUACUGUUCAUGUUCCUACAUAACUUCUGUCCACAUGAUGUCCUCAGGGAGUGAAAACAUGUGUAUGUUGCUUCUUACCUACAUGAUAUAUUCACAUUACAUUUGACUUUGUACAGAAUAUAAAGUAUAUUAUACUAGA